UGACCUCGGAUCAGGUAGGGAUACCCGCUGAACUUAAGCAUAUCAAUAAGCGGAGGAAAAGAAACCAACAGGGA
rnacentral:rRNA from 1 species